AAUCAUAUAACCAUUGAAGGAGUCCACCCGAAAGAACCUCCGCUUUCUGAAGAACCACACCGAAGCCCCGCUGGGUGUGUCAUGAGCUGUUUACACC